GAAAACAGAAACGGAGCGGACGGCUUGUGGUGCGUGAGCACCACAAGGCAGGCCUCCUGGCGCAGCAGGUGAUGCGUCGUGGCCGACAGGCUCGGGGCUAUGAUGCAGAUGAUGGCAGCAGCGGCGGCAGCCAGGGCCAGUGGCAGCCGCAGCCUAGCAGCUCACAGGCGGCGGGCGAGGCGGACGAGGUGAGCUCGGACGGCGCCGAGUACGGCCGG